GUUGUCGUGGCCGAGUGGUUAGACGAUGGACUUCAGAUCUUUUGGGAUCUUCCCACGCAGGUUCGAAUCCUGCCGACAUCG
rnacentral:tRNA from 1 species